AGCCACGCAGCUGAGAGAGCCAGGCAGUGCAGAGCCGAGCAAGGGGACUUAGUCUGGGGAGUGCCCGCGUGGUGUGGAGCCAGCCCUGCAUGCUGCUCUGCAGGAGAGGGACAGGCUGGGGAAGGCUGCCCGCCAUUCCUCCUCCCUGGCAGAUGCUGGCAAUUCCUGCAUGUGAGAAACGGGUUUCCCUUUGGCUAACCUAGUGCUUCCCAGUCUGAACUGAGCCUCCGAACCCCUUUCCGGAGAUACUGAGACGCGCUAGAGGACAGCCCUGCCCGCUGCCUCCCCAGCCUGUGCGCUUUUCCGUUUGGCAAAUGAGGGGCGCUUCUCUGUGCCAGGCCCCCGCUGGAAGUGCAGGGUGAGAGCCGCUCUGCAGUGGCUGCGUUGGCCGGCUGCCCAGUGAGAGGGAAGGAGGCCUCUAGCCGAGCUGGCACUUCCAGCUCCUCCCCCGCCGGAGCCUCCUGUGAGGUCCCUACAGUGUGACCCCCACUCUGGACACACUCCUCCUGCAGUGGGCCUUCCAGACCCCUGCCCCCCAGCCACAGAGCGGGACUCUGCCUGAACACUUGUGACGUCUCCGAAAGACAAUCUCCAGUUGGAAGGCUCUUCCUUCUAAAUGAAGCAAAACCCUACUCUGUACCGUCCCCUGGGGUUCCAGAAGCACCAUCUGGAGCACAGUCUCAUACUAGCCCCUGAAGGGCUGCAGGGUGGUGUGGAAAUGCGUGCAGCUGCCAGCUGGGAGGCUGGGCCUGCUCCCAGCGGGCUCCCGGGCUUGCUGUGGGACUCUGAGCAAGGUGUCUCCUCUGGCCUUAGGUUCCUUGCUUGAAAAGGUGGCAGGGACCUAGUGAGCUGUAGGGCCCCUCUGAGGCCUUCUGAAGAGUCCUUGGGCAGCAGGGUCCCCCAGGCUGUCAGCUUGCAGUGACCCAGAUGGUAGAGGACAGGAAGAUGCCUUCAGUCUUUUGGAUCUCCCACCUUCGCUUGUCCUAGUCUGUCCUUCCAACUGUCUGUCCUGCAAGUACCUCUUGAGCAGCCCUUGCGUCAGGUACCACCCUGUCCUCUGAGAGCUCACAGCCUGGCAUGGACCCUGUGAGCCAGGAGCUCAGUGUGACAUUCCGAGGGCUGGCAGGAAGGUGGACAUGCAGUGCCACAGGGGCCCCUGCGUCUGUCUGAGGGGCUGGGGUGGGGGUCUCACCAGAGGAGGGGACCCUGGGCCUCCACUCCCCAAACGAGUCAUCCCCCAGAUACUGUGUGUCACUUCUGACAGCUCCGGACCACUGCACAGGAGAGCCGCAGCCUCGAGUCCUCCGGCCGGAAUGGGCUGCAUGGGGAAGUCCCACCCCAGGACCAGGGGGACUUCCCAGACCGUGGAGCCGCACUUCCACUUCCAUUUGUGCAGCUGGAGGCAGCAGCUCUUUUUUUUUUUCUUU
rnacentral:lncRNA from 1 species